AUGAAAGGAGAUAUGGGAUGACCUUCAACUCGGUGCAUGACAUUUGCUUGCAUCUUUUUAUUAUGUUUUCAUGCAUUUAUUGCACACUUACAUGAUUAUGAAUGUAUGCUUGACGUCCAGCGGAAAAUUUGAUAUAUAAGAGACUAUGUGGUAUGAUUGCCAAUGAGACAACUCUCCACAAGACACCAAAUGACACAGAAAUUAACAACUAUAGGUCACCGUACGGCCUUCAACAAUGAGCAAAGCCCAUACCGCAUAAUCAGCUAUAAAAGGCCCCGAAAUGACAAAUGUUAAACAAUUCAAACGAGAAAACUAACGGCAUAAUUUAUGUACAAAAAAUGAACGAA
rnacentral:lncRNA from 1 species